GGGCGCUUAGCUCAGCUGGUUAGAGCGCGUCUCUGAUAAGGACGAGGUCCCUGGUUCGAGUCCAGGAGCGCCCA
rnacentral:tRNA from 1 species